CACGGGGAGGUAGUGACGAAAAAUAACGAUACGGGACUCAUCCGAGGCCCCGUAAUCGGAAUGAGUACACUUUAAAACUUUUCCCGAGGAUCAAUUGGAGGGUAAGUCUGGUGCCAGCAGCCGCGGUAAUUCCAGCUCCAAUAGCGUAUAUUAAAGUUGUUGCGGUUAAAAAGCUCGUAGUCGAAUCUGUGUCCCGCGCCGCUGGUUCAUCGCUCGCGGUGUUUAACUGGCGUGUCUCGCGGGACGUCCUGCCGGUGGGCGCUCGUAUCACUUCGGUGGUGCGUGGCCCAACUCGUAGCCGUCUCGCGCGGUUGCGAAUCCCAUCGCGGUGCUCUUUACUGAGUGUCGAGGUGGGCCGGCACGUUUACUUUGAACAAAUUAGAGUGCUUAAAGCAGGCCAAUUUUGCCUGAAUAUUGUGUGCAUGGAAUAAUGAAAUAGGACCUCGGUUCUAUUUUGUUGGUUUUCGGAACCCCGAGGUAAUGAUUAAUAGGAACGGAUGGGGGCAUUCGUAUUGCGACGUUAGAGGUGAAAUUCUUGGAUCGUCGCAAGACGGACAGAAGCGAAAGCAUUUGCCAAAAACGCUUUCAUUGAUCAAGAACGAAAGUUAGAGGUUCGAAGGCGAUCAGAUACCGCCCUAGUUCUAACCAUAAACGAUGCCAGCUAGCGAUCCGCCGACGUUCCUCCGAUGACUCGGCGGGCAGCUUCCGGGAAACCAAAGCUUUUGGGUUCCGGGGGAAGUAUGGUUGCAAAGCUGAAACUUAAAGGAAUUGACGGAAGGGCACCACCAGGAGUGGAGCCUGCGGCUUAAUUUGACUCAACACGGGACACCUCACCAGGCCC
rnacentral:rRNA from 1 species